UACAGAGGUCUCAAGCGUUGUUCGGAUUCAUUGGGCGUAAAGCGUUUGUAGGCGGCUCUAUAAGUCGGGUGUGAAAUCCCAUGGCUCAACCAUGGAAGUGCAUUCGAAACUGCAGAGCUUGAAUAUGGAAGAGGAGAGUAGAAUUGCUGGUGUAGUGGUGAAAUACGUAGAUAUCAGCAGGAAUACCGGUGGCGAAGGCGACUCUCUGGUCCAAUAUUGACGCUGAGAAACGAAAGUGCGGGGAUCAAACAGG
rnacentral:rRNA from 1 species